rnacentral:rRNA from 1 species
AUGAACGCUGGCUACAGGCUUAACACCUGCAAGUCGAGGGGAAACGACGGGGAAGCUUGCUUCCCCGGGCGUCGACCGGCGCACGGGUGAGUAACGCGUAUCCAACCUGCCUCUGACUGAGGGAUAACCCGUCGAAAGUCGGCCUAAUACCUCAUGGUAUCGUCUGCGGGCAUCCAACGACGAUUAAAGAUUUCAUCGGUCAGGGAUGGGGAUGCGUCUGAUUAGCUUGUUGGCGGGGUAACGGCCCACCAAGGCUACGAUCAGUAGGGGUUCUGAGAGGAAGGUCCCCCACAUUGGAACUGAGACACGGUCCAAACUCCUACGGGAGGCAGCAGUGAGGAAUAUUGGUCAAUGGGCGAGAGCCUGAACCAGCCAAGUAGCGUGCAGGAAGACGGCCCUAUGGGUUGUAAACUGCUUUUAGGCGGGGAUAAAGUGAGGGACGUGUCCCUCAUUGCAGGUACCGCAUGAAUAAGGACCGGCUAAUUCCGUG